rnacentral:rRNA from 1 species
GACGAACGCUGGCGGCGUGCUUAACACAUGCAAGUCGAGCGGUAAGGCCCUUCGGGUACACGAGCGGCGAACGGGUGAGUAACACGUGGGUGACCUGCCUCUAGCUCUGGGAUAAGCCUGGGAAACUGGGUCUAAUACCGGAUAUGACUCCACGGCGCAUGUUGUGGGGUGGAAAGCCUUGUGUGGCUAGAGAUGGGCCCGCGGCCUAUCAGCUUGUUGGUGGGGUGAUGGCCUACCAAGGCGACGACGGGUAGCCGGCCUGAGAGGGCGACCGGCCACACUGGGACUGAGACACGGUCCAGACUCCUACGGGAGGCAGCAGUGGGGAAUUUUGCGCAAUGGACGAAAGUCUGACGCAGCGACGCCGCGUGUGC